GAUGAACGCUGGCGGCGUGCCUAAUACAUGCAAGUCGAGCGAACAGAUGAGGAGCUUGCUCCUCUGACGUUAGCGGCGGACGGGUGAGUAACACGUGGGUAACCUACCUAUAAGACUGGGAUAACUUCGGGAAACCGGAGCUAAUACCGGAUAACAUUUAGAACCGCAUGGUUCUAUAGUGAAAGAUGGUUUUGCUGUCACUUAUAGAUGGACCCGCGCCGCAUUAGCUAGUUGGUAAGGUAACGGCUUACCAAGGCAACGAUACGUAGCCGACCUGAGAGGGGGGUCCGCCACACUGGGACUGGGGCACGGGCCAGACUCCCACGGGAGGGAGGAGGAGGGAAUCUUCCGGCAUGGGCGGAAGCCUGACGGAGCAACGCCGCGGGAGGGAAGAAGGGUUUCGGAUCGGAAAACCCUUGUAUUAGGGGAGAACAAAAGGGGAAGGAACUGUGCACGUCUUGACGGGAACUAAUCAGAAAGCCACGGCUAACUUCGUG
rnacentral:rRNA from 1 species